AAUUGAAAUGCGCUUCGGUGUUGAAACCAUCGACAUAAAUAUAUGGACAAUGGGUUUCCAUAGACUCCAAUAACAAGUUUUUCUGCUAAAAUGGGAGGUGGCCACAACCGCCAUUUUGACCGUGUCACAGGUUCCGUCAAGCCCAGACAAUUCCAUAAAAGGGAAGAGAGGUGGAGCUGAGGGUGGGGCUGUAAGGCUGGGAUCGACUGACGACACCCGGUCGAAGUAGCUACAAGCUAACCUGAAGCUAACCCAAAGCUAAUGCGGAGGUAGGAGCUAAGCUAACAGAGGUAGCAACCUAGCUACAACCGGAGUUAACUGUGCACAACACCAGAGCUUCUGAGUCAGAGAUACGCCGGGCUGACCGCUGGGUAAAACUGGGUGGAACACAGAGGUCUCCGAGACCUCCACAAGCCGGCAGCCGCACAGCAGACUGGCGCCGCUGCGAUCUGAGAUGUGCAGAGCUGCCGCUGGGGAGAACCGGGUGGAAAGGUUUCCAUCCCUGAGUUCCACAAGCCGGCAGCCCGCGCAGCACACAGAAGCCGCGAUCAGACAGAGAUGCGCCGAGCUGCGGGGACAAGUGGCGUAUUUUGGCGGUUCUGGCUUGCCAUAAGAACCAGCCGUCAGCCCGCGCAGCUAACAGAAGCCGCGAUCAGACAGAUGCGCCGAGCUGCUGGGAGAACCAUCCGUCAGCCCGCUCGCAACAAACAGAAGCCGCGAUCAGACAGAGAUGGACCGCGCUGCGGGGAGGGGAGAAACGGGUGGAAAACAUCGGUCUCCCGAGAGCUCCACAAGCCGAUAGUCGGAACCCAGCUCCACCAACAUGUUAUAUUUCAACCCAUUUUCUAAAGUGCAGCAUUAUGUUAAAUGCACUGGGUUUUACCCUAUUACAUUUAAAUUUCAUGGUUAAACAGUACAUGUUAAAAUCUAAGCUCAGCUCGACAGUGACCUAAAAUACAUAAAUAUAAUUUUACUUACCGAAAAAAAUGAAGUGGAGACUCCUUGGACGCUCUACUAGUGCAAUUAAUGCCACAGCAAGUCAUUUUGUCCAACGAUUGCACAAAAAAUAUCCAAACAAGAAUACACAAACCAAGCCAGACCAAGGCUCUACUGAGGCCUUUCCACGGAGCUAGCUAAAUAUUGUGUGUGUGUGUGUGUGAGUGGGGGGGGGGAUGACACGUCUCACCUUUAUGUUAAUAUUGUUUUAUUUGAUGCACUCCACUCUGAACUGCACUAAUCCAGCAACUGCUGCAUUUUAAUAACUAGUAUUAAAGGUGAAUACACCAAUAUUUGCACAAGAAUAAUUUUUGUUUUAAACUCUCAGUGACACACUUUAUAUGGGGGAUUUGGCAUUUAAUUUUUCUUGGCGUCUGGAAAAACAUCUCCUUCUGCCCCCCUUUAUUUGACUUUCUGCCCCAAGAUCAUUACUGGGCUGGCCCUAUUAAACACGUUCUACACCCCUGCUUAGUAGACUUAAUGAAGUAUUUUUAAGCCAGUAUAAAAAUGACUGAAACACAAAUUUACAUAUUUGGCAUUACUGACCAAUACCUUUGAUUUAAUUUGUUUGUUAAGAACAUCAAGAUGCAUUACAGCCGUUUUCAGCUCUGUCUUGUCAAAUGCACCACGUACGUUAUGAAAAAAGUAACUUUAAAUAUUAAACUGAAAAAGAUGCGAGCUGAAGAAAACCUAGUGUAUAAAAGGUUCCGAAUUUCAUAUAUUACCUUUGUUAAAAUUUGUUGGUUUUAUUUUGGUGGGAAUUCAGGAAGUGACAUGCCUUUAUUUUGAAGAGCCUUUCACAGUGAGCUCACUUCCAGCGCUAGAACUUUCCCUUUUCUUUCCUUGACAAGCGUUCAUUCUCCUGCAAGUCAUGUUGAUGUUGACAGCAUUAUGUUAAUGCAAGAAAACUGUUGUCAAUGCUGUUAAUGAUUACCAUCAACCAAGAUUAAAGAUUUGGAUCUACAGCAAAGGAUGCAUCUAGCCUCUACCGGUAUUCUAACAGAUACACCAUAUUGAUAGCCACCUCACCUGGAAAGAGCUAGCUUUAACCAAACCCUCCUUUACACCUAGGGAGUUCUGAAGAAACGUGAGCAACAGUGAAGCAAGCACAGAGAGAUCCGUUACUGUGUGUGUGUGUGUGUGUGUGCGAGUGUGUGUGUGUGUGCGUACGUGAAUGGGCUGGACGGACUGAGCUCCCGGCUGCAGUUUUGUGUGUAGGGAGGGGCGGGCGCUCUAUGUGACUGGCCAAUCACAGAGCGUGAAGACAAUCAGUUACCCAAUGAGGAUUUUCCUUCAGCACGAUUACAGAUAUUUACGAGUUUUACUCGUUUCAUGCUCGUAUUCGUCAAAAAUGCUUUAUCCGUACAGGAUACUCGUCUGAAAUGAGUUUCCGGCUCAUCCCUAGCUGUAACCACCGUGCCCUGCCUCCUCCUCCUUGCUGCCUGCCGGCUGUGAUCACAAGCAACAACAGAGUAGUUCCCGCUGCUUCUUCGGGACACAGCAAAAAAAAAAAAAUCAAUAAAACUUGGGAUCUUGUAGGCGUGGCGCUGGGAUUUCAGCCGUGGUGGGCCGCCACGGCUACGCCAAUGUAAGGGAAACACUGUUUUUUACCUCAGAGAAAUCUCAACGCCCACACUUUUAAACACUGUGUGUGUGAACGGGUUAUUCCAAACGUUUCAGAAACAAGAAUACUGACCUUAAAACCAAUCAAAACCCGAAUAGUGGCUGUGUGUAAACAAUGUGAGCCCCCCCCCCACACACACACACACAAUAAUUUUAAGUCAGAUGAGAAUUUUUUGCUUCAAUCCCUGAUCUGUGUUUGUGUUUCCUACAGAUGUUCCACAGCUGGUGCUGGUUAAAGAAGAAGCUCCUGAAGAACAGAGUGCUGGUGUGGACCAGCAGGACCCAGAACACCUCCACAUAAAGGAGGAACAGGAGGAGCUCUGGACCAGUCUGGAGGGAGAGCAUCUCUGUUUGAAGGAGGAGACUGAAGCUGUCGGGUUUCCUGUUACUGCUGUUUCUAUAAAGAGUGAGGAUGAUGAAGAGAAACCUCUGGUCUCACAGCUUCAUCAGCAGCAAAUAGAAGACAGAGAUGUUCCAACCAGCAGCUCAGCUGACCAGAUGGCAGCAGAAACUGGUGGAGGAGCAGGAACUAGCAGGAACCCAGAUCUGAACCCUCAUGAACAAACAUCUGAUUCUUCAGAGACUGAAGUUAGUGGAGAUGAUGAUGAUGAUGAUGAAGAUGGUGAUGAUGGUGAUGAUGAUGGUGUGAAUCUGGACUCUGAGCUGUCAGACUCUGGGUCUGAAACUGGAGAUGAAGAUGAUGACUGGAAUGAGAGCAGGUCUUCUGAGUCAGAUG